rnacentral:rRNA from 1 species
CUACGGGGCGCAGCAGUGAGGAAUAUUGCACAAUGGGGGGAACCCUGAUGCAGCAACGCCGCGUGGAGGAUGACGCAUUUCGGUGUGUAAACUCCUUUUAUAUGUCAAGAAAAUGACGGUAGCAUAUGAAUAAGCACCGGCUAACUCCGUGGCCAGCAGCCGCGGUAAUACGGAGGGUGCAAGCGUUACUCGGAAUCACUUGGCGUAAAGGACGCGUAGGCGGGUUGGAAAGUCAGGUGUGAAAUCCUACAGCUUAACUGUAGAACUGCACUUGAAACUUCUAAUCUAGAGUAUGGGAGGGGGAGAUGGAAUUAGUGGUGUAGGGGUAAAAUCCGUAGAUAUCACUAGGAAUACCUAAAGCGAAGGCGAUCUCCUGGAACAUUACUGACGCUAAGGCGUGAAAGCGUGGGGAGCAAACAGGAUUAGAUACCCCUGUAGUC